UGUGGAUUCUGUUUACAAGGUGCACA
rnacentral:piRNA from 1 species